rnacentral:rRNA from 1 species
GGCGUGCCUAAUACAUGCAAGUCGAGCGGACAGAUGGGAGCUUGCUCCCUGAUGUUAGCGGCGGACGGGUGAGUAACACGUGGGUAACCUGCCUGUAAGACUGGGAUAACUCCGGGAAACCGGGGCUAAUACCGGAUGCUUGUUUGAACCGCAUGGUUCAGACAUAAAAGGUGGCUUCGGCUACCACUUACAGAUGGACCCGCGGCGCAUUAGCUAGUUGGUGAGGUAACGGCUCACCAAGGCGACGAUGCGUAGCCGACCUGAGAGGGUGAUCGGCCACACUGGGACUGAGACACGGCCCAGACUCCUACGGGAGGCAGCAGUAGGGAAUCUUCCGCAAUGGACGAAAGUCUGACGGAGCAACGCCGCGUGAGUGAUGAAGGUUUUCGGAUCGUAAAGCUCUGUUGUUAGGGAAGAACAAGUGCCGUUCAAAUAGGGCGGCACCUUGACGGUACCUAACCAGAAAGCCACGGCUAACUACGUGCCAGCAGCCGCGGUAAUACGUAGGUGGCAAGCGUUGUCCGGAAUUAUUGGGCGUAAAGGGCUCGCAGGCGGUUUCUUAAGUCUGAUGUGAAAGCCCCCGGCUCAACCGGGGAGGGUCAUUGGAAACUGGGGAACUUGAGUGCAGAAGAGGAGAGUGGAAUUCCACGUGUAGCGGUGAAAUGCGUAGAGAUGUGGAGGAACACCAGUGGCGAAGGCGACUCUCUGGUCUGUAACUGACGCUGAGGAGCGAAAGCGUGGGGAGCGAACAGGAUUAGAUACCCUGGUAGUCCACGCCGUAAACGAUGAGUGCUAAGUGUUAGGGGGUUUCC